UUUUUUCCACAGCUGUGCACAGUAUUGUUAAAGCAAACCGACCAGAAGGCAUCUGUGAAGCACUGAAUUUGUGCUUUGGGAAUGCAUUAGGGUGAAGUGAGCUGUGCCUUUCCUUGUUCCCAGCGGUAGAUUCCUUUCCCAGGCUCAGCUGUGGAGAUGUAUUCAUGUUCUGAAACUUUCUUUAAAGAGCUGCUGGAAGAAAGUAGAAGGAAUUUUAUCCUGGUGUGUUUCCCUGUGAACCUUUAGUUUGCUGGAAAUUGCUUUGAAACCCUAUAAGGCUGCUUGUGAAUAAUACCAAAUUCCAUCUUUGUGCUGAUAAAGAAACGCUUUUCCCUAAAGCCUGCUGACCAUCUGGGAAAAUUCACUGCAAUCUCCUAACCAACUGACAGCAGUCCAUCUUUUUUGCUUCUUACCAUGAGGGAAAAGUUAAAUCCUGCCCACAUUGACAUGCAGGUAAUAUCAAUACUGGCCUCCAAAACCUCAUUUUUCCACAUGAUGCUUUACCUGCAAGACCACCUCUUUCCAGUCUUUGCCAGCCACAGGAGAGCAGCAGCUCUGGCAUCUCAGGCUGCACAGCUGGCACUGCUCAGCUAAAGAUGUGUGGACGGUCCCAGACAACUCAAAGCUGUUUUGUGUGGUAAGUGGGGCUCACCUCUUCCUUGGUUUCAGUCUCUAUCCAUUCUGAAGAAUGUCAUAAGAGGCCUUCUUGUGUGAGAAACCUAUGAUGCACACCUAUGGAUUGGCCUUCUAAUCUUAUGUCCCCUUGUAGGGCCACUGCCACUGUAGUCUGGCUGAUAGUUGAAAAAUACAAGUUCUUCCAGGUAACUAUUAAAGAAAUGGCUUGAGUCCAUCAAACCCUCAUGAGAGUUUCUCUUCCUAUGCUGCAAAGCAAAAUGAAAGCUUCAGCAGGUGGUGAGCAAGGGAAUGCAGAGUCCUGGUGUGCCCAUGAACUGAGCAUGUGCCCACAUCACAGUGCUCCUACUGC